rnacentral:rRNA from 1 species
ACGCUCGACACCUACGAGAGGCAGCAGUGGGGGAUAUUGCACAAUGGGGGAAACCCUGAUGCAGCAACGCCGCGUGAAGGAUGAAGGUUUUCGGAUUGUAAACUUCUGUUCUUAGUGACGAUAAUGACGGUAGCUAAGAAGAAAGCUCCGGCUAACUACGUGCCAGAGCCGCCGGUAAGUACUGAGCGGGCGUGGCGAAGGACG